CCUUUGGUAGUCGAGCCGGAGGGGCGGGUCUCCCCUUUUGUCCCCACUUGGGGUUAGAGGCCUUCGCAGUGGCUUCACUUGGACGCCAGGGGCCCAGCCUCCAACCCAGCUCUCUGUGGGUUGGAGGUGUGUUUUGGAAGGGGGUGGGCUGGGGCUUGGGAAAGCCGAUUGGGGCCUCCCCUUCGGGAUCCCCCCCAGCCCCCCGCCGCGAUAGUGCCCGAGGGUAAAGCCUUAGAUCCUGGCCUUCCUGGGGGAGGGGAUGUGGACAGGGCGGGUCUUUGGAAAUGCAGAUGAGUCGUCUCCCGCUGCUGGUCUCCUGGGUUGAACUUUAGUGACUCAGCCACCCUCACCCCACCCCCACCCAUUCCACAGUGAGGGCCGCCUUGUCAGCUGGGAAAGGGGGGGGGGGGACACAGCAUUUCUGUGACUCCCUUUCUAUCUAGUAGACCCUGUUGGUAUUGCAUUUGGCCAAUCCAUUCUCUCUGAACCUACAAACUGUGGAAUUGCCCUAACAGAACGUCCGAAUUUACAGGUCUUGGCCGGAGACCGGAGCCAUGUCUGUGUUAUCCCCACUGUAGACAAUCCUUGCUUCCUCUGGACAUCUGGAGCAGGCCCAAUUUGACUGAGAGCCUUCCCCCACUAAGGUAGGUAAGAGCCCUUUCCCCAAGUUCAGAGAACUGUUGCCGGGCUUUGACCUGCAGCCUUCGAAGGGCGGCUUGGGAUCCCCAAACCUGCUGGGCUGGUUCUGCAGCCCCUCCCCCACGCUGAUGUGGCGGUUGUGUGUGUGAAAUGGGCGGCCUGCUGGGUCCAUCCAGCCCCGCCUGUCAGCUUCUGCUGUGGGGCGUUUAGGGCGGGCGAUUCUCAUGCCGAAUUUAGCAGCUUACUAGAGCAAGGACUACCAAGUAUUUCCCAGUGGUGUGGUUUAUGGUGGCUGGGAGGGCCCUGGAAACUUCUGAAGACGGUGACUGCUGCCAGGUUUCCCAGUGGUGCUUCAGACAUUGUUCCUGAACCCCAUUAGGGGGACCAGCUGAGCCCCCUUCUGAUGUCUGCCUUGCUGGAUAGACAAAGAAGCAAAAGAUGUGAAGUGGUAGCCAGCUUCCCGAGAGAAAAGAUUUCCUUGGCUUCUCCUUUUCCUGGAUCCGAGCUCUCAACAAGGCCAGGUGUCGGUAGCCUGGCUUCUAGAACGUGACACAAACGGAGGCUGGCCCUUCACCUGUCUGUAGUGAUCUUACAGAGUCAAUGAGGUCUGUGCUUAGUCUCUGAGCAGGGUCUCCCCAGCUGCACCGGCAUCAGAAGUCAGUGGUUGGACCCAUUAAACCCGACUGUGCCCAUUUCUCGAGUUUCCCUCUUAGGCAGUUACAUCUAAGAACUUGCUCUUCUUACAAGGUUCCAGGUAGCACCAAGUUUCUAGACUCUCUCUAGUAGGUGGCACCUGGGAUGUCACCCAGCUUGGUGGCUAGCAGUUGGCUUGCCCUCCUCCUAGGCAGGAAGCUUUGCUGCUGAAACUGGUGUGGCCCUUGAUCCCUGACCCCUGGCCCCCUAGUGUGUUUCUCGUUUUGUUACUUUGAUAAGCCAUUUGGCCUCAGGUGCCGCGGCUCCUGCUGGCUUCCCCUAUUUGGGCCUCAGCUUCCAGCCUCUAGUCUUCUCUUUUCUCCUCACCCCUACAGUGAGUGCUGACGUGUGAGUCGGGGAGCCUGGAAGGCUUCCCUGAGUUGUUGCUGGAGGCAGAUUGGUGCCUAAUCAGGGUGCUUCUAGUCUGGCAGCUGUAGGUUAGAUGUGGACCUAGCUAGUGACCUUGGACCAUUGCCUCUCUUCCCCCUCCCCGGGUUAAAAAGACCACAAUACCUGCUGGAAAAGGUUGGUGGGAGGAUUAAGUGAGAUUAAGAGGGCCAGACUCCUGCUCUGACCUCACAACCAGUUGGCCUCCAUUGUGAUAAGGAUUGUUGCUGGGAGUGGUUGCUGCCUGCGCCGGUGGGGGCUGGGCUGUCUCCAGGGCUCCUCCCCGCCAGCCCACUUCCUGAAGCACGUGCUGGAGCCUCCAGGCAAAGGAGAAAGAAAACUGGCUUUGCUUGGGAAGGCAGCCAGCCCUGUUUUUCUUCUAGUGUUUGAGUCCAGGCUGUUCCCGGGGCUCCGUAGGCUGUCCUGUGGUUGGGUCGGGAUUUAAGGGCCACCCACCAAUAGCCCCAAGAGAAGAAAUGUCUCACCCAAGGUUAUGAGGCCACCACGGAGCAGAGCCUGGACAGGGUUCCAGGUGUCUUGAUUUUCAGCCCAGAACCUGGGCCCGUGACACCCCCUUGCCCAGCUGUCUGGGUUAUUUUAGGCUCCCUCCCGUGCCAGCUGUCUGCCUUUAUCACUGCCAGAGAGAGCUGUCUGGUAUAGCAAGGCUCCACAAUGGUCCCGUGGCUCCCGCUGGUGCAGAGGGCCAGGCAUCAAGUCCGUCGAUGAGCUGGCUUUCUGCUGGGAAGGCUGAACUCCUCACCCCUAUUGAGAAGGGGGGCGGGGAGAAGAGCGCUUUGCUAGGUUGGUCUCGUUCAUACUUUAGAUACCUGGUAAGCCUUGGAACACAACUGAUCAACCCUAAAGGCUCUGGUUAGAGUCCUUGGAUCUGGCUGGGGUCUUUAUCUCCUCCAGCCUCCCACUAAUUGAUUUAAGUCGCGCUGUGUCAGCUGUACCCUGGAGGGCUACAGGCUUUAGGGAGCAAUUAGGCGCUAAGCUGUGACGUGGUGCUUGAAAGGGGAAGAUGGAAGUGACCGGGACCAACUUGUGGCUUGCUCUCUACUUCAGGUCUUUUCCACCUCUCUCUCUCUCUCUCCUUUCUUUGGCCCCUUAUCACCUCCUGGGCUGUAGGGUGGGGCAGUUUGUCCUGCUGUUGUUCCUGGCCCCGAGGGGUGCCCCGCCUCCUGGUCACCCACGGAGCGUGGGGCGGAGCCGCUCUGGCCUGCAGAGAGAGGGCCACGCCAGCAGAAGGCUUGCCUGAACUGGGAGGUGGCUGUACUCGAUUUACUACACGAGAUUCCAGUGUCCCCGCCCCUUCCGGCUCCUCCACCUGGCCCCGAGCCCAAGUUUGGAAUAUGACCUUUUUAGACUCUCUGCAACCGAGGUGGGUCGGAGGACCCGCCAUCCCCGCUCUCCACGGCCCCCAGUGUUUUCUCGGAUUGUUCCGUGCCAAUGGGAACCAGGAGGGAAAGUUGAACAAAAACCUUCAGAGCUAUUAAAUUGUCGCGUGAUGGAGGAGGGUCUUGCUGUGUCCGGGCUAGUCCUAGUGACAGGUUAGGACCCUAGGUAUAUCCCUUUGUACCAACGUUCGCUGGUUUUCCGCCUGGCUUCCAGAAAUCACUAAGCCCAUCCUCUGCUUGUUCCCUGGAGCUGUUAAGUAGCUGAGACUUGGAGCGGUCAGGCUGCCUAACCAGGUAGAUAAGAUAGCCUGGCUUCACCCCUCUGCUAGAGUCUUUAUCUCCCCCCUCUUAUCCGUUCCAUCUGCAUUUGGAUAGCUCAAUAAUUGAUUUAUGGGGCCUCUGAAUAGGGGAGUGGUGGCCUUAGCCUCCCCCACCCAAAUUUGUACUUUGUCCUUAAAGGCUGCAGUCUGUUCUCCUCUGCCCCCCUGGAUCUGAGCUUUAGUCUCUGCAGUGACCACCUGACAGCUCCCUGAGGGGGGUUUGAGGCAAGAACCCACAGAAGCAAUUUCUUGCUUUCCUCUGCUCUCUAGGAAUUCCUGGACAAUGGAGAGUGCCCCAGGCCCCCUGAACAUCUUGCUGAUGAGGGAGUAAAGCCACCCUGGGUGGGUGUGAGUGCGCGCGCGCGCGCCUAUCUCCUCAGCUGGCCCGGCCCGACCUCUGAGGAGGCUCUCACCAGCAGCUGGCUAGAUUCCUGGUUAUUUUUAGUUACAGAUCCAGCCCCACCAUCACCACCAGAGUUGAGUCCAAAUCCAACACUCUAGGCCGGGUAGUGCUGGGACUUUGCCAGCCUCCUGCUGAGAAGUGAAUUCUCCCCUUGGCAAACUGCAGCCAGCCAGCCUCCUGGGUCGAGAGCCAAGCCAAAAGAUGUCUGAGAGAAGAAACCUGGGGUCCUGCAAAGGUAAGUGGGUCCCAGCCCACUCUCAAUCCCCCUCUCUCUGUGUGAUUGCUAUUCCACACUGGAGUCACCUGCUCUGUGCUUCUGAGGAACCUCACCUCUGGCACAUCAAUGGAAAUUGUCCUUCCCUUUUUAUUUAUUUUUAUUUAUUUUUUAUUUUUUGCCACCCUCACUGGCCACUAAGAGAUAGCCCUAGCUCCUCCUCUCCUGCCUGGUUUUGACAGGACUCACUCCAUUGAGUCCUGUCUCGUCUCUUUGCAGCCCUCCUCCUCCCCCCCCCCCCCCUUCAGCCAGCACUUAGGCCCUCCCUGAUUUAGCCCGUUACCUUGACAACCACUUGGGCCUGUCUCCCUCAUCACCACUGAAAACCUGAAGGUGGUUUUCCAGCUGCGGUACAUUUGCCCAAGUUGGGCACCCCUCCAGCUUCUAUUGGCUCGCCCUCUAUACAGCUGUACCCAAUAUAACAAACACAACCUUCCUGGCCCCUCAGCUGUAGUCUCGAAAUUGAUCUCACUGGUCCCGGGAACUCCGUCAAUACUGCCUCCUCUAGACUGAGCUCCUCACAGGCAGGAACAUGGUUGUUUCUCAAUAAACAAGUUGCAAAAAAAG
rnacentral:lncRNA from 1 species